GUUCUGCUGAAACCAGUCACCAUCAGAAGUCCCAGGAGUUAAAGUGUCACGUGAUCUCGGUAGAAAUACGCCGGUCAGUGCUAAAAACAAGAGAAAAACAAAACGAUUCUGGAAAAAGUUUCCGUAAACAAAGAUAAUAAUAUUCGAACAUUUCGCAGAACUUUUAAAAUCCAUUAUUUAAAAAAAAAAAAAAAAAAAAAAAUGUGGCACAACCACGAGUCUACAACGCUGAACACGAUGCUGCCACCACCAUGCUUCGCAGAACGCAGCAGGAUCUCAGAGCGCUUGUCCGUAGUGUGUGAACGUGUGUGUGACCGUGCCCCGCGUUGGGUCAGCACCCCGUCCAGUGUGUUGCCCCCAGCUCCGUGCCCCGACUCCCCUGGGGUAAACUCCAGGCUCCGUGCGAUCCUGCGUAGGAUAAGCGUCAGAGAACAUGGAUGGAUGGAACGAACUUGAACACGCCACGUAACGAUCCGUUAGGGUUCAAGAAUGUUGCUAGGAGACCAGCACGUAUAUAAACGCCUUCCUUAUCGCAGAUACAUUCAACUCGGAAAAAGAUCGACUUCCUGUUACAAAUCCGCUCGGUUUAGCGAGCGUCUCAUGAGCGGCUGCGACCGCUUCCCUCUUCCGCAGAGCACAAAAGCGUCUCGUCCACAAAGCCGUGUCAUCCAGGGUGAAAAGCGGCGAGACGGAUGAGCGUUCCUCCCUCGUCUCGUCUCGUCUCGCUGGCCGCCUGUGUUUGACAGCCCGAGCGUUCCGAGGCCGCUCCGGCCGAGCGGGCGCUCUGAGUGGAGCGCCGGUGCGGAAAAACACACCCUCUUUCUCUCUCCUCGCGCUUUCUCACAUUUGAUUAUCUCCUUCUCCCACGGUUCAGGAAGAAAAGAGGACCUCUUGUCAGUUUUCAAGGGUCGAUUGUUGCGUUUUCUCCAAAGAAAAGGCCGCUGCGUGUCAAAUUUUAUUUAGAGGGGUUUUUCGUUUGUGUUUUUUUUUUUUUCUUGGAGAGAGAGAGAGAGAGAGACGUGUGUGUGGAGUCAACGAGGCCGUGUCAUGUUAGCGUUCGGGGAUCUUUAUCUAGCUCUACGUACGGCAUACUUGCACCUGUGGUGAAACAGGAAGUGUGGGCAAAUCCGAAAUGAUUCUGUACGCACGCACGGCAUCAAAAAAGUUUUCACAUAAACACGUGACGUUUUACAUUUCAGCGACGCAAAACGUUUCAAACGCAAAUCAAACCCGGAUACAGUUUGUAGCUGCUUUGUUAUCGUUCCUAUCAGCGAGUUAUUAGCGGUAAGCGCUUUCCUGCAUCUCGAUCGUAGACGCGGUACUUCCUGUUCGCGUCCGAUCGCGUUCCUGAUUGGCUGGCAAUGCCGACCGCUUUACGCGACGCUUUUCAUGAGGUACCCGCGGUCAUGUGACCUGUAGUGGUAAUGGGAAUACUUCGAUAGCAUGUGCUGUACACUUACAUACUGUACAGCGCAGGAUGUCUUAAUUAGCAUAUUGUCGCCAAGUCUUGCGAUGAAAUUCGCCUCAGGAUUACUUCAGCUUCAUUGUCUGAGGAUUUUCACCAACAUCAUGAGGGAUCUACAUACAAGCUUUAAAGACAAAACAGGAACGUGUGUACUGACACAGAUGUAAAAAAAGAAGAAAAAAAAGAAAAGUGCUCUUUAAGGGUUCUUUGAAGGUUCUUUAAGGGUUCUUUAAGGGUUCUUUGAAGGUUCUUUAAGGGUUCUUGGAUAACUGUUCUAGUUUUAUUUUAUUUUAUUUUCUUAAAAAGGAGUUCUACUUGGAACCUUUUCUGGAACCUUCACAGGAACCUACGAUUGUGCUCUCGCAGAUGCUGUUCAUAAGUUUGGAUGUAAAAACUGUUCUGAAAGGAGAACCGUCUGUUGUAAGGAUCUACACAGAACCUUGACCCGAAGAUCUUCGGAACGUACUUGAACAGAUCCAUGGCUGCUUUUUUCGUCUCCGAUGGCGACCUGGAUGGUUAAAGUGUCUAAUUUUCUAAAGGGGUUCUACGUGGAACCGGUUCUGAAAGGAGGAACCAUGGAUUUCGCCAAAUGAACACAUUUCAGGUGGAACGGAGUCUUUCCAAUGGAGUCGACUUUCCAGUUUCCAAGUUCUUCCGGUACGACUUACCACUGCCCCGAGAGGAACAAUAAACAAUAAUCAAGUGUGAAUUCAACAUGGCUGAUGUUUAGAAAUGUUUGUAAAAUGUUUAUGCAUGUCUUUUCUUCUCUUAAUUCCAGGAGCGCGGAUCACGGAGAGAACUUUGGGGUUCCGUUAAGAGACUUAAGCAGACGAGUGCGAAUCAUCCCGAUGACCUGAGCGACGCCGUGGAUUCGUUUCUGGUAACGGCGGACAUUUUUAAUCCUUCUUUGACUUUCUGUCAAUAAGCAAUCACGACAACAACAGAACACUGAGGCUAAAUGAGCCGAAAACACAUCAAUCAAGACAGGCUCCAUCUCUCCACCUCUCUCUCUCACACACACACACACCGGUCGCUACUUGAGGCCAUUGUAUCCAUACACACCACACCCUUACCGCGAUUAUACAACGUGGAAGCUAGCUAUUCUAGUAUGUAAUGUUUAGCUGUUAUGUUUA
ensembl:lncRNA